rnacentral:tRNA from 1 species
GCGGCGGCAGUGCACACGUGAAUAUAGGCGAGUGCAACCCUCAAUAAGAGGCGUCAGACAGUUGCAGAGGAGUACAAACGUCUUUGCCGAGCGGGUGCUGCUGUCGGCGGUGCAUGCCCGCCUUGCUGCA